AAUGAACGCUGGCGGUAGGCUUAACACAUGCAAGUCGGACGGAAACGAUGAAGUGCUUGCACUUCAGGCGUCGAGUGGCGGACGGGUGAGUAACGCGUGGGAAUCUACCCUAUAGUUGGGGACAACAUAUGGAAACGUAUGCUAAUACCGAAUGUGCUCUACGGAGUAAAGGAGCCCUCUUCUUGAAAGGUUUCGCUAUAGGAUGAGCCCGCGUGAGAUUAGCUAGUGUAGUAUGCUACAGCACGAUCUCUAGCUGGUUGAGAGGAUGAUCAGCCACACUGGGACUGAGACACGGCCCAGACUCCUACGGGAGGCAGCAGUGGGGAAUAUUGCACAAUGAGCGAAAGCUUGAUGCAGCCAUACCGCGUGUGUGAAGAAGGCCCGAGGGUUGUAAAGCACUUUCAAUUGUGAGGAAGAUAGUGUAGCGAAUAACUGCAUUGUUUG
rnacentral:rRNA from 1 species